ACCCUACGGGGGGCAGCAGUGGGGGAUAUUGCACAAUGGGGGGAACCCUGAUGCAGCGACGCCGCGUGGGCGAUGGAGUGCUUCGGCAUGUAAAGCCCUAUCAGCAGGGAAGAAAAUGACGGUACCUGACUAAGAAGCCCCGGCUAACUACGUGCCAGCAGCCGCGGUAAUACGUAGGGGGCAAGCGUUAUCCGGAUUUACUGGGUGUAAAGGGAGCGUAGACGGCAUAGCAAGUCUGAUGUGAAAGAUCGGGGCUCAACCCCGGGCCUGCAUUGGAAACUGUUAAGCUGGAGUACAGGAGAGGG
rnacentral:rRNA from 1 species